rnacentral:ncRNA from 1 species
UCGGAGGAGGAAGACGAGGCAAUCCCAAAUAGGUUAACCUUUUUAACUGCCUGCUGAAUCCAUGAGCACGCAAGAGACAACCUGGGGAACUGAAACAUCUUAGUAGCCAGAGAAAAAGAAAGCAAAAGC